rnacentral:rRNA from 1 species
AGUUCACUUCUUAGUAGCGAAGCUAACGCGUUAAGUUCUCCGCCUGGGGAGUACGGCCGCAAGGUUAAAACUCAAAGAAAUUGACGGGGGCCCGCACAAGCGGUGGAGCAUGUGGUUUAAUUCGAUGCAACGCGAAAAACCUUACCUACCCUUGACAUCCUCGGAACUUGUCAGAGAUGAUUUGGUGCCUUCGGGAACCGAGUGACAGGUGCUGCAUGGCUGUYGUCAGCUCGUGUCGUGAGAUGUUGGGUUAAGUCCCGUAACGAGCGCAACCCUCGUCCUUAGUUGCCAGCGAGUCAAGUCGGGAACUCUAAGGAGACUGCCGGUGAUAAACCGGAGGAAGGUGGGGAUGAUGUCAAGUCAUCAUGGCCCUUACGGGUAGGGCUACACACGUGCUACAAUGGGCAGUACAAAGGGUUGCCAAGCCGCGAGGUGGAGCUAAUCCCAGAAAACUGCUCGUAGUCCGGAUUGGAGUCUGCAACUCGACUCCAUGAAGUUGGAAUCGCUAGUAAUCGCGAAUCAGC